rnacentral:rRNA from 1 species
CCAGGAAUCUUGGGCAAUGGGCGAAAGCCUGACACAGCAACACCGUGUGGGCGAUGAAGGCUCUAGGGUCGUAAAGCCCUGUUGAUAGGGACGAAGGGCGAAGGGUUAAUAGCCCCUAGCUUGACGGUACCUUUCGAGGAAGCCCCGGCUCACUACGUGCCAGCAGCCGCGGUAAUACGUAGGGGGCGAGCGUUGUCCGGAAUUAUUGGGCGUAAAGAGCGUGUAGGUGGUUCGGUAAGUCUGCUGUGAAAUCUUGGGGCUCAACCCUGAGCGUGCAGCGGAUACUGCCGGGCUAGAGGGUUGUAGAGGCGAGUGGAAUGCCGAGUGUAGCGGUGAAAUGCGCAGAUAGUCGGGGGAACACCAGUAGCGAAGGCGGCUCGCUGGGCCACACCAGACGCUGAGACGCGAAAGCGUGGGGAGCGAACAGG